rnacentral:rRNA from 1 species
UACGGAGGGGGCUAGCGUUGUUCGGAAUCACUGGGCGUAAAGCGCACGUAGGCGGCCACUCAAGUCAGAGGUGAAAGCCUGGGGCUCAACCUCAGAAUUGCCUUUGAAACUAGGUGGCUUGAAGAUGGGAGAGGUAAGUGGAAUUCCGAGUGUAGAGGUGAAAUUCGUAGAUAUUCGGAAGAACACCAGUGGCGAAGGCGGCUUACUGGACCAUUCUUGACGCUGAGGUGCGAAAGCGUGGGGAGCAAACAGG